UCAAUGUGACUUAUCGCAAGAUUUUGUGAAAGCCUCUUUUUGUUCUUCAUGUAAGUAACGCUCACCACAGGAUUUUCAGUCCUCUGAGAGGUGAGAAAAAUCAAUGAACAAGAAGUCUUGAAGGCAUGGCCUCAGUAAAACUAAAGAUUAGAAAAACAGAAAUAAUUCAACGUAUACAGUAUAGAACUUGAAAAAAAUGGUAUUGAAAAAAUAAUGUUAGGACUUUGCUGCAUCUGGUUAUUGCCUUUUACACAAAGAAAGCUGCUAAAAACAAAUUUAGCACUGAACAUAAUCAAGCUUUUUUUUUCUCAUUUUUUAAAAGAAUAGGAAAAGAAGAUACCUUUUCAGCAACUGACUGGGUUACCACAUCAGAGCCUACAGACCUCUCCCAAAUUAACAGAACACUGCAUAUACUUCCAAAAUGUGUUAUAUGCUGAAAGCUUCUUUAAAAGCCUUCUCCAGAAUGUCGGGAAGGUGAGUGAGGAGAUGGUGGAGCGGCCAGAGCUGCCAGCCUGACAAAGCCUGACCAUAGACAGAGACAAGGGACAGACAAAGGGACAACACAGUCAGACACACAAUUUUUGUUGUUCCUUCACAGAGGAGAAGAGGUGGACUGAAAUUAAUCAGUGAAACAAGAAAACUAAAAGUCAUGAAACAGCAAAAUGAAGCUUUCAGAGAAGAGCUAUGCUUGCCUGCAUGUAGGAUCAGUGCUUAAUUAAUAACAUAAUUAAUUGAAAUUUGGGUAAUAAUUCAGAGCUCUGUUCAUCUGAAGGAGUGUUCAGAUGGCAGUUUCUGCUUCCUUCAGCCAUUGCACAAGAAGGAGGAAGAGAGAUCCUGGUCUGAAUUCCACAGAUAAUGCACCUGCUGUGGGAAUAUUCCUGCCAUGAAUAUAACCAGUGACUACAUAAUAAUAUAUUUCAGAAAGUGGACUAAAUAUCUGCUGUGCUUAGUCUAAUAAAAUAACCCAUUAAUGUCCAGCUAUACAAAUCUAAUUUACUGUAAUAGGGGUUUUUUUCUACUUGAAAUCCCCUGGCCAUUAUCUUUACCUGAGAGGGAUCAAUCUCAGUUAAGCAGUUAGCACUUAAGAUAAAAUGAGAAUGGGAUUAAUGGGUUUAUACUGUGUUAUUUAAGAGCCAUUGGCAAAAAAAAAUUACCCUCAGUCUAUGUGUAUAAUAUGACAUUUCUCCUUUGCUCCUGCACUCCCUCAGUACCUUUAAAAUAGUAGCAAUAAACAUAAACCUGGCAAGAGUGAGCAGAGAUUUGGAGCUGCCCAGGCCUGGCAGGGAUGAGCUCGAGGUUUAUCUGCUCCCUUUGGCUGUUUAAGUUUAUCUUCAUUCCCUUGGCUGUUUUGCCCUGUGUGUUUCAGAAUUCCCCUUUGGAAGCACUCUGUACAUACAUCCUUUCCUGUCUUUCAGGGUACAAUCUGGCAAAAUGGCAUCAGUUAAACUGCUAAAAACCGGAGUGAGAGCUACAAUCUAGAUCAGCAGCUCAGGGCAGCUUCACCACCCUGGCUGUGCUAACAGUGUUGUGGUUAAUGCUCUUGCAGCACUUGGGAAAUGCAAAGCUGUAGCUAAAAAGCCCAGGUAUCACCGAGCUGAGAUCAUUUGUUAGAUUUGUAAAAAUGUUUAAUUCAUAGAAGCAGAUCUUUCC